GACGUUUGGUUUAGACUCUAGAUUGCAACCCAUAAUCGAAAUAAUGCCAAUUGUGGUAAUAGUAUCUUAUUUCUGCUGUGCAUUAGGUUAAGGAUACCACAGAAUCUAUGCCUCGUGGUGGUGGAAGCACUUCAAACCGCGGUGCCAGAAGCGGUAUAGAUUGUUAUUCUGGGCGUGGUGGUUCAUCACAGUUUAGCUCUUCUGGUACGUCAAACAACCAAUACAUCAAUUCUUGUACAGAAGAGACGCCAGCCGAAGAUGAACAUGUUUUUGAAGAACACACUGAAAACGUUGUUUCAAGUAGAAAUACGCAUGAGGAUACAUCUGGGAGUGCAUCUCUUCAUGACAAUGAUUUGUAUCAUGAGAUUCAAGCUUUUGAGCAUAACGAAGUUGAGGAAGGUGACGCGUUAGCAUCUUUAGUGAGUACAAACAUGCAACAACUUAAUAUACAAGAAGAAAGACAGUUUGAUGAACCUGAAGAGGACAUCCCUUCUGUAGUGAUUCCGAACCACCUGCAAGUUCAGACUGCGGAUUGCUCGCACUUGAGUUUCAGGAGCUUUAGUUCAAGAACGCUAAGGUGGUUGAGGCGUUACAAAAGGAACUGGAGAAUGCUCGAGUUCAGAUUUAGAGUGUUGAGCGUUUGUGCUCACCGAGAAGCUUGUAUUGUUGCAGGCAAUAAAAGAUGGAGUUGAUAUCUUAACACUCUCCAUAGGUCCAGAUGAACCAUAAAAGAUGGAGUUGAUAUGUUAAGCAUGUUCGACAUCUUGUUGGCACGCAAGGCCGGGGUUUUAAUGGUUCAAGCAGCUGCGAACUGCGGUCCAGAGCCGACAUGACUCAGCCUAUUCCAACUCAGGAGAUGUUAGCUAAGGAUCUCCAUGGCAUUGAGUGGCGCUUUAAGCAUAUAUUCAGAGGUCAAUAUGCUCUUGUAUUUUUCUGCGGAUGUUUAAAGAUAGCAAAAUGGGUUAGGUUGCAAUCUUUUAUCGUUUAUGUGUGUUGAAACGGGUCGGACUGAAGGGUAUCUGUUAUGUGUGCAUUCAGACGGGUUGGGUCAGAAGGGGUAAUCGAUUAAGUGUGUUCAGAGUUCAGACGGGUUGGGUCAGAAGGGGUAACCUUUUAUAUGUGUUCAGACGAGUCGGAUCAGUGGAAAUUUCCUAAAAGUGCUGCAAAUGCCGAUGACUGAUAUCACUGACAAACUCGUAUCGAAGCACAUAAAACCAUUGCCAAAUCUCACCAUCUUGGAUGUGAGCCAUUGCAUCAACAUCACAAGCGAAGGCCUUAAAACAUUCGGUGACCAAUGCAAGUCAUUGCUUCACUUGAAAAGAAACAUGCCUGCAUUCGAAGACCAGUUGUCAGUUGCCUGAUGAUUUCGAAGCCAAAGCUAUAGCUGACACCAUGCCACAUCUGCUGCAUAUUGAGCUAUGUUUCGGUCGGUUUGGUGAUUCGGGUGUCUCUGAAAUCCUCGCAAAAUGUAAGGCGCUCACUCAUCUUGUCAUUCAAUGGAGUUGGAAUGUAGAGUUGAACGGUGAUCUUGCAGAGAUAUGUGAAUGGCUCCAGCAGUGAUGUGAAUUUCAUAGAUUCGGAUUCAGAUUGAUUUGGUUGGUUUAUGUUCUUGAAUUAUGAUUUGAGUAGAGCAAUAUGGCGGUGUUGCUAAAUGCUAAUGAUGAUAUUAUUAUGCUGAGACUGUUACAUAUUUUAAUUGCUAAAAGGGUUUAAAGUGUUU